AAUCAACGCUGGCGGCGUGCCUCAGACAUGCAAGUCGAACGAUUAAAGCUCUCUUCGGAGAGUGUAUAGAGUGGCGCACGGGUGAGUAACACGUAAGUAAUCUACCUUUGAGUGGGGAAUAACCCGGGGAAACCCGAGCUAAUACCGCAUAAUGCAGCGGCAUCGCAAGAUGACAGUUGUUAAAGGAGCAAUCCGCUUAAAGAGGAGCUUGCGGCAGAUUAGCUAGUUGGUAAGGUAAUGGCUUACCAAGGCUACGAUCUGUAUCCGGUCUAAGAGGACGGUCGGACACACUGACACUGAAUAACGGGUCAGACUCCUACGGGAGGCAGCAGUCGGGAAUUUUGGGCAAUGGGCGAAAGCCUGACCCAGCAACGCCGCGUGAAGGAUGAAGUA
rnacentral:rRNA from 1 species